GCAAGUCGAACGAGAACGGGUAUAAGUUUACUUAUACUGUCAGCUAAGUGGCGCACGGGUGAGUAAUAUAUAGUUAAUCUGCCGCAAAGAAGAGAAUAAUGGUUGGAAACGACAUGUAAUGCUCUAUAUGCCUUUAUUACAUAAGUAAGCAAGGGAAACAUUUAUGGCUUUGGGAUGAGACUGUACGGUAUCAGUUAGUUGGUGAGGUAAUGGCUCACCAAGACAAUGAUGCCUAGCUGGUCUGAGAGGAUGAUC
rnacentral:rRNA from 1 species